CUCCAAGCCCGGCCCUUCACGGGUGCCUCGCCCCCAGCCCCCGGCCAAGAGGCCAGCAACGCCGGUCCCCGCGGGGCUGCCAAGAACGUGGACCCCUCAGCACCUCAGGCCGCAACGACCAGGGACCUCUCCACUUUGGACCUCACAGAUGCAAGAGGAAGGAGAAGGUUUGAAUUAUGUGUCCCUAAAACUACUGAUUCUAAACUAAGCCUGCAUCCAGCCUAGAUGUUGGGGAGUCUGUGGCUUCCCCUCUAAAGCAACCCAACUUGAGAGGAAACUGGAAUCCAAACAUGCUUUGGGUGUAAGGGUCUGGUGAUUCCAGGCACAGCUAGGGAUCCUGGUUCUAGGGACCCUAUCAGGAGGAUGUGGUGGAGAAGGUCUCACUUUGCCUCACGGGGACAAGAAGGAUACCAGAGAGCUCACGAGGAACAGGAUGCAGAGAAACACUGGGUCCAGUCCCUGCCUCCUUCCCUACGGUCUCAAGGACAACUGCCAAGCACAUGUGUGAUGCCUUGGGAACAGAAAGCAGCAGGAAUCAUGGAUUCUCCAACUCACCACCAGUCCUUGACUCCAGCCUCUCUUUUGUGAGCCACUCAUCCUUACCGCCAACUCACUGCAGUCCCAUGAGCACUUCUCCCUGGCUAAACAGUGUGCAGUGGCUUCCAAAGUCCCACUCUCCUGGACACAAAGCCCUCUCUUGGCUUAGCUCAAAGUGCCAACCUCCACUCCCUUGUUUCAUUGUAUCUGCCAAACCAAACAAGUUGUGUCCCUGGCCUAGCCUAUUCCCAGAGGCAGAGGAGCCUGCCUCCGCAGAGACUAAGGUAUUUCUACCUUGCUUUUUCAGGUCCAACUCAAAUGCUGCCUCCUUAAUAACCAUUCAUUCAUUCAUUCACUCAACACUGGCUGAGUAUCAUAUUCCAAGCAUUGAAUAAAGGGUCCUUGUUGUCAUUGAUGUUUGUGGUCCUAUGAGGCUUCAUGUUGAGGCUGGAUGAGUUCCAGGGAGAGGU
rnacentral:lncRNA from 1 species